UACGAGAGGCCCAAACGUUAUUCGGAAUUACUGGGCUUAAAGAGUUCGUAGGCGGCAUUGCAAGUAGGGUGUGAAAGCCCUCGGCUCAACCGAGGAAUUGCGCUACUAAACUGCAGUGCUCGAGGAACCUAGAGGUGAGCAGAACAGAUGGUGGAGCGGUGAAAUGCGUUGAUAUCAUCUGGAAUACCGGAGGCGAAGGCGGCUCACUGGGGGGUUUUCUGACGCUGAGGAACGAAAGCCAGGGUAGCGAACGGG
rnacentral:rRNA from 1 species